ensembl:lncRNA
CUCCCACCGUACACAUUUUGUUUGAUUGGUUGUUGUUUAUUUGUAGUUUAUAAUUCUUUCAUUUUUAUAUGUGCAUACAUGUGCGGUCAAACUGUAAACACAAAACAGUUUACAAUUAAUAUUUAGCAAUGUUUCACAUUUCACAUUUGCAUUUAACAUUAUCACAUGUAAUACAAUAUGUAUUUCUGGAACAGUCUCUCGUGUCACAGACUUGCAUUAAAUUUUGUUUACUAUAUGCAACAUAUUGCAUGAAUAUUUCAACAAGUAACAUAAUAAACAAAAUAUGUCUACAUAAACAGCAAACAUAAGUGUAUAAUAUUGACCGUUUAGGCGCUAAUCGCAAAUAGCGAUCUAAAUAGAGAUAACUUUAGAAACCUCAGAUUACUUAAACAACGAUAACAUUACUCACCACGCUGGGAAUAUAUAGUUUAAAUUAUUGUUUCAAUCUGGAAUUAUUAUAGAAGUUCAGCAAUCUUGAAAAUGAGAACAACAUGGCUUUCUCUGUCAGCCCUCUUUCCACUGUGCACUUUCCGUCAGCUAUCACAUGAGCCACUGUGACAACGUUCUUAAAGGGGCAGCACCUAACAUCCCGGCCCCCAAUGACCCAAACAGGUCAUUCAAAGAAAGUAAAGGUGAUGCCUCAACUAAACUAGCUCAACUGAUAAAACUGGCUUCCAGGAGGCAGAUUUUAUCCACAGGACGACUGAAGACUCCUGCCUGUGUUUUCACUUCCACAGUACGCACAAGUCCAUCUGUACCUGGAUAAACUCGAGUAAUCAGACCUAGUGGCCAGUGAUUGCGUGGUGCAUUUUCAUGCAGAAUGAUCACAAGAUCUCCUACUUGAAGAUUCCGCUUUGGUUGUAGCCAUUUUUGGCGUUGCUGCAGUGCGGGCAAAUAUUCUUUAAUCCAUCUCGACAAGAAGAUAUUUGCCAGAUACUGGACCUGGCACCAUCUGCGUCGGUAAACAUCUUGUUUUACGAAGGCUCCUGGGGGUAGAGUUGGACCUGAACGGAGUAACAUCAGAUGAUUUGGGGUGAGUGGUAGAGGAUCUGAUGGGUCAUCUGAGAGUUUAGUGAUUGGUCUACCAUUCACAAUAGACUCAAUGCAACAAAACAGUGUUGUCAGACCCUCGUCAUCUGGUGCCUGCUGCAAUAGGACAGUGUUUAGAAUGGAACGAACGGUGCGAAUUUGUCGCUCCCAAACACCACCCAUGUGGGAGGCGGCGGGUGGAUUGAAGAUCCAUUUUACAUUGUUCUGCAGCAGGUAAUCAGAAAUCUUUUGUUGAUUCCAUUCACUGAUGGCUUUCCGUAACUCUCGUAAUCCACCAACGAAAUUAGUUCCGUUAUCUGACCGUAUUUCAGAAGGUGGGCCUCUCCUAGCGAUGAAUCGUUGUAAUGCAUUGAUAAAGGAAUCAGUAUCGAGGGUGUGUGCGACUUCGAGAUGAAUAGCUCUCGUAGUGAGACAUGUAAACAAACAUCCAUACCUCUUUUGUUCACUGCGUGCCUUCUUAAUCAAGAAUGGUCCGAAGUAGUCUAUGCCCACUCGAGUGAAUGGAGGCUCACACGGAGUAACUCUAGAGUCAGGUAAGUCUGCCAUUUGCUGGGCUUGCGGCUUAGCUCUUAACUUGCGACACUGUAGGCAUGACUUGAGAGUUUGGGUAAUGACAGCACGUCCCUUUAGAAUCCAGAAACUUUGACGAAUUUCUGUAUGAACUCGUUCUGGACCCGGAUGUCCCAAACGAAGAUGGUAGUGACGAAUAAUCAGCUGGGUGACGUGAUGAUUGUUAGGUAGGAUCACUGGAUGUUUAGCCUCGUAAGGAAUUGGGGCAUUCAUUAGUCUGCCUCCGACACGAAGGAGUUGAUAAUUUUCAUCCCUAAAGGGUUUAAGUUUGAGAAGAGAACUGGGUUUGGCUUCAGUAGAUCUGAAAGUUGCAGCUUGUAUGUAAUUGAGAGUGGCUAACUCUGCUUGCUGGAGCUCACCAACAGUAAUGGGUUCAGAAAGAUGUGCACUUACUUUCUUGCGUAAGAAAGCCUUGAGACGCAACAAGAUAGCUGUCAAGUUCCGAUCUACUUCUUGUACAAUUCCCCACUUGAAAAGGACAGUCCCUCCACAUGAAGAUCUUAACUGGAUUUCACUCAAUAAACAGCCAUGGGAACAGUUCUUUGUCUUUUAUUUACCAUUCCUUGGUAGCAGUAAACAGGUGAAAAACCUCAAGAGAGAUGACAAAUACAAGUUACUAUUUGAGUUGACAGCCAAAUUAAACAAAAUUCUUCACAUUCACCUCAGAUAAACACAGUACUGUCAUUAUAAAAUACAAGGUUUCCACUUUUAAGCAGUAUUUUCAUAGUAAAUAAUUAUUUUAAGGUCUCAUUGUAACCACAACUAGAUAUGCUUAACCAAAACAAAUCAAUUGGCAUUUUAAUUUUCAAAAUGUAUAUUUUUCUUAUCUUUUUAACCAAGUAUCUUUAGCCAAAUAUUUUUAGACUACACAUUUUUUUAACUGAAUUAAGAACUUGGUUUAUUAAGAUUUCUACAAAGUUUAAAUUACUUUUAACCAUUUCAAACACAUUCUUUGUCAAACAAUGAAUUUGGUUUUUCUUACUUUUCCUUUAUACCCCACAAAUAACAUUUGAAAUUACAAAUACCACUGCAAAGGUCCUAUCAAACUCAACAAGAGUUAAGAGUUUGUGUCUUCUAGAAUACCAUUAGCACUGCACUGCUUAAGUCAGUCUAGCCAAACAUGGCCAAUAUGGCGCUUACCGGCUGUCCUUCACAGUUUUGUGGAGGGCUUGGUCUUACACAGUCACCUUGAUGACAAAGAUGAAGUUUCCUUGGUCUUGUGGUGCUAUAAAUGCUCCUUUGACUGCAGUCUAAAGACAACAACAGAGCCAGGUACUGGCACGCUCAGAUUGCCUGGACGAUAAGUUCCACCUGGUUCACCACUGAUUGAAGGAGGAGUUUCACCACUGAGGAGCUCCCAGGCAGUUUGUCAGCACAAUAGCAGUAGCUCUUUUCAAACGAUGCCAACUGGAGUAUCGUUCCAGUAGUCUGUCCACUGCAUUUUUCAUUGCUUGGUUUGGUGUUAUGUUAGCUGCAUAGACUUCUUUGCCUCGUUUGAUCUCUGCUUCAUCUGGCAAGUCAUUUAUAAUAGGUUGAGCAGGCCAAUGUUCCUCAUCAUGUCUAAGAAAGUGUGGACCAGAUACCCAUCGUUCACUUGCCAAAAUCUCUCUCAUAGUCAUCCCUCGAGAGACGUCAUCCGCAGGGUUAGAGGCAGAAUCAAUAUGUCUCCACUGGCAUGAUUCUGAGCGUUCAUGUAUUUUUGAUAUACGGUUGGCGACAAAUGUCUGGAAACGACAAUGCUUGUUUUUAAUGUACUGAAGUGCAAUAGUACUGUCUGUCCAAAAGAAAGUCCUUUCAAUUGGAAUCUCUACAUGUUGUUUGAUAUGCUGAUUCAGCUCCGUAGCAACAACUGCUGCUAGUAGCUCCAGUCGUGGUAUGCUAACUGGCUUGAUUGGAGCAAGUCUGGCCUUUGACAUCACGAGCCUGCAGGUGCCGCCAAUCUGGAUGUAUGAAACAGCACCAUAAGCCAGUUCCGAAGCAUCGGAAAAGUGAUGGAGCUGGGUAGAUAAAAAACAACUUGUGGAUGUUGGUCUAAGGCAUCUUGGAAUUGUCAGUGCUGACAACAGAGGCAAGUCGUUCAACCAUCUGUGCCAUUGUGCUGCUAUGUCCACCGGUAACUCCUCAUCCCACUCAACUUUUAAGCGGCACAACUCUUGAAAGAUUGCUUUAGCUUUGAGCACGAAAGGGCUUGCAAAUCCUAAAGGAUCAUAGAUGGAACUGGUAGUGCUCAAUACUCCUCUCUUUGUUACAGGUUUAUCUACUGACUUGACAUCAAAUGUGAAGCAAUCUCGUUCUACAUCCCAAAGGACGCCCAGUGUUCGUUCAAAUGGCAAAUCCUCUUGGUCAAGGUUUACCUCAUGUAAUGAUUUUGCCCAGUCAUCAGCUGGUAUUGAUUUCAUCACUUCCUUGGAAUUGCUUAACCACUUGGUUAAUCCAAAGCGUCCGCAGGUGAGCAGUUCCCGGAGUUCGGAAGCAAGUUUCAUGGCAGCAUCCUCUGUUGGUACUGACUUAAGGCAAUCGUCGACAUAGAAAUUUCGCUUAACCGUUUCCACUGUGUCGUCAGAGAAGUUUCCACGAUUGUCCUCUGCCACUCGUUGCAAGGCAAAAUUGGCAGCACUAGGACUCCAGACACCUCCAAACAGAUGAGCCGUCAUACGAUAAUGCUUAGGUGGUUUGUUCGGGUCGUUAUCUUCCCACCACAGGAAGCGAAGCACAUCUCUUUCGUCAGAAGGCACUCGGACCUGAUAGAACAUGCUCUCGAUGUCCGCAUUUAGAGCAAUGGGUUCUUGUCUGAACUUGAGAAGGACUCCUAGCAGCUUAUUGUAAGGUCUGGGCCUUGAUGAAUGUGGUCAUUUAAUGAAGUACCUUGGUACCGUGCUGCACAAUCAAAAACGAUACAAACUUUCUCUGGCUUACGUGGAUGUAGCACUGGAUGAUGCGGCAGGUACCACACACAACCAUCUGUUCUGUUAAUGUCGACGACCUCGAUAUUUUUUGCGCAAAGAGUCUCUAAUACCCUCUGUAUACUUCUGAAGCAAAGUUGGGUCCUUCUUUAGCCUCUUUCCUAGAAGGUCUAAUCGAUGCUUGGCCAUCGAGUAGUUAUUGGGCAGUCGUGGUGGAUGUUCUUUAAAUGGGAUAGGAAGUGUGUAAUGACCUUCCUCUUUGACUGAUUGUUUGUUCCAUAGGGCCACAACUUGCUCAUCAACUACUGACAGCGAAUCCUGGUUCACAUGCACUGGAUCAUCCAAUUUCCAAAAUCUUUCAACAGCUUGUUGUAGAGAAUGAUCAGCUCGAAUAAAAUUGGCAGAAACAGAUGUAGAGCCAUCAGCUACUGGUCCAUGGAGUCUCCAUCCCAGGCCAGUAAGAAUUGCAUAUGGUUCACCAGACUCACCACAGCAUGUGUUACAAGGAGCAAGUAUGUCUGGUUGGUCAAGACCUAUUAGCAGGUGAACCUCAUCAGCUAUAUCAGCAUCGGGUAGACUGAUUUCAUCUGCAAUUUCUCGCAGAUGCGGCCACUGAAACAGCUCCUGCUGUGUGACUAGGCUGUCUAGACUUAUGUUCAGGUUAUCCCGACAGAGCACUCCUUUCAUCAGGAAAGAGUUCUUUUGUUGAGCAUUGUUCGAGCAUCUUCGUAGAUCCACUGCUAAGGUGACUACAUUUAGGUUUUUGGUCUCCAUGGUGUUCAGUAUAAUGUUCAUUUUGUGUGAUUCCAGUUUAAGAGCACGAACUAGCUUCUUAGAAGCAUAGGUCCCAUUUGAGCCACUGUCAAGCAAAGCAAAGACAUUCAUAGAGAAUCGUUUGUGUCUGUCUGAAACCACUACAGGCAGAAUGGGAAGUGCAAUCUUCUUUUGACUGACUUCACUGCAUUUUUUGGUAGCAUGUGCUUGAAUGGCUUGUGGCAGGUCGACAGCUGGCUCAUCCUCAGUAGCUUGAUUAGUAGAUUGGCUUUUGUCGUUGUCAGAAGCUACGAUGGCAGAGUGUAGCCAACUGUUGUGUUUUUUCCCACAUCCAGGCACCUUGCAUUCCCAGCUGCGAGAACAGAUUGUGCUACGAUGGCCCUUCAUAAAGCAGUUCAGGCAGAGCUGCUUUCGCUGAACAAAGGCCAAACGCUCUUGAACAGACAAAGCUCUGAAGGCUUGACACUGGUUCAGGAAGUGUCCGUCAGUGCACUUUGGACAUUUACAUCUUGACGUUAUCUUUGGUGUACGAUAUGGUGGAUUCAUUAGUAACCGACACUGUUGCAAAUGUCUGCCUUUUCUUAUUGAAGCUUGACUUAGCAUUUGAUUUAGAACUCACAGGAGAAUUUCGACUGGCAGGUGUAAGAAGAUUCCCAAAAAUAGGAUCAGCUCUCUUAGUGGCUUCAGAUUCCACAAGACAGACUACAUCAUCCAACUUUGGUAAAUGUCCAGAUUUUACAAUCUCAUAAUUUAUUGUGAGCCAUCUUUUCUUUAUGUCUUCAGGCAGCUUUUCUACAAUCUGUAGCAAAGUGCGUCCUCCAUUGAGCUCAUCCUCACACUUCAUUGCCUUUAGAGUGUUUUGGCAGCUACACAAAAUGUCUGCAAAGCUUUGCAACUGCUUGUUGUCUUUAAUGUCUUUGUGAUUGAGCACCUUGUCGACCCAUGCUUGUGAUACUGCAUAUGGAUUGCCAAAACGUCUUUUCAGAAUAGCCAUGGCUUCUACAUAGCCCAGGCUAGAGUCAGGGUUGUACAAGCAGUGCGAGAUAGCAUCUCUAGCUUGACCGACAGUGUACUGAUGCAGACGAGUGAGUUUUUCUUGAUCUGGCACUGUCUCUUUGUCAAUCACUGAGGAAAAAAAUCUGAUGAACUGCCAGUACUUUAAGGGUUCUCCAUCGAACUUGAUGAUGUCGACAGGUGGUAAGUGCAUGGAAUCAAUGUGUGACUGAUACUGUUGCCUUGACAUCUCUAGUAGUUGACAUAAAAAAUUCUCGUUUACUGCUGAGAAUGAUGGCCGAAAGUUGAAGGAUGGGUUACCUGAGACAGGAGUUUAUUGUUUAUUGUUAUUAUUAUAUGUUUAUUGUUGCUAACUCAGCCUUUCGUCGAUUUUCCUCCAUCUCAGCAUCUUUGAGUUUCAGUAAGCCUUUUAGUCCAGCCAUUUCAAAUUCAGCUUGCUGAAGUUGAAGUUUAAACUCUGCAGGCAGACGUUCUUCUUGUUCAGCUAAAAGCACAGAGAACUCUUUAUUUUCUUUCUGUUUUAGAUUCUGUAGCUCUUGAAACUGUGUAGAUAGUUGGUCUACAGGAGACAUUUGCGGUUUAGCAGCUUCAUCAAGCGUUUGCUGUUCCUCUUGGAAGUUUGAUGCAUCAGAAGACUCCAUUGAUGGCUUAAAGUCUUCAAACCAGCUUAAGACUGUGUGCUGUAAGUCUUGCACAUCCCGCAGGACUGAUGUUAAAUAGCCUUUAGAAGCAUCAAGGUCAUCAUCAUCUUCUAAUGUUUUAUGGUACAUGUCAUGGAUCUCGUGAAACCGCAUAACAGCCUGAUCCAAAGCAGCAAGUUUCAUCUCUACCUCUUUGGGCUGAUUACAGUUGAUAGCGGUUGUAAUCUGUGUCAUCAAGCGUGUCACAGCAGCCUUUGCACCUCCACGUUGACGCUUGAGACCCUUUUGUUGUUGAUCUGGGGUAGAACUUUCUUCUGUUUCUUAGUCCAUGUUGUUAUUAAUUUCCUUUCUUCCUCGUGUUUGACUUUAAUGUUACCCGUAAAAUGAUAACAUUAACUUGGAACUUGAUUUUGUUCUUUAUUCUACUAGUGCAGAACUCCCACCGUACACAUUUUGUUUGAUUGGUUGUUGUUUAUUUGUAGUUUAGAAUUCUUUCAUUUUUAUAUGCGCAUACAUGUG